rnacentral:antisense_RNA from 1 species
GAAGCAGUUCAUUUUCGUCAAGAGACCCCUUUUCCUUC